AAUUAGCAGACAAAUUUAUAAACCAUCGCAUAAUACUUAGACUCAAAUUAACCGUUAAAGUCAAAAAUAAGUCGCUUAGAACAUCCCGAGGUAGACAGGUUUUAGUCGGUAGGUCCGAGGACACAAUUAUCGGGAAUCCGACACUAUCCAGUCAAACGAAUAACUGGAUGUCUUUUGAAGAUUUUCCCUCUCCCAUGAUA
rfam:Agrilus planipennis Contig34931, whole genome shotgun sequence.